ACCCCUGAAACGUCAGAGGGUACUUCUGGCCUUGGUUUUCUUGGUUUUUGGUUUUGUAUUUGUUUGUUUGUCUAUGAUGAGUACCGUUUCUAUCUGGAUGAGACAUAGGUCAAGAAUCCUAUCCCAAGACUGUAAAAGUACUUGUUCACUGAAAGGAUGUAAGUGUAAAUGUUUAUUUAAUGUUUGUAUGUCUACUUGGAUAUAAUUAUUUGUUCAUGUAAAUGUGGAAGUCU